GAGCGUGCACCACUGUACCGACUUCGGAUCGAAGUACCUACCUGUACAAAUACGGUACUGGCCUUCCAACUGCGAAGGAAGUAACAACCGGACAUACGAAGGGUCCACCGGGUUAGAAUCCAACCCACGAACACAAAACACUAACUCAUAAUCCCCACCAAAAAACCUACAGGAAUCGAUUUCCCAAAACCGAUUGCCGAACUCGUCGGAAGUCCCGAAAAUCGCACCGGGACU
rnacentral:lncRNA from 1 species